rnacentral:rRNA from 1 species
AAUACAUGCAAGUAGGACGCACAGUUUAUACCGUAGCUUGCUACACCAUAGACUGUGAGUUGCGAACGGGUGAGUAACGCGUAGGUAACCUGCCUAUUAGAGGGGGAUAACUAUUGGAAACGAUAGCUAAUACCGCAUAACAGUAUGUAACACAUGUUAGAUGCUUGAAAGAUGCAAUUGCAUCGCUAGUAGAUGGACCUGCGUUGUAUUAGCUAGUAGGUAGGGUAAUGGCCUACCUAGGCGACGAUACAUAGCCGACCUGAGAGGGUGAUCGGCCACACUGGGACUGAGACACGGCCCAGACUCCUACGGGAGGCAGCAGUAGGGAAUCUUCGGCAAUGGGGGGAACCCUGACCGAGCAACGCCGCGUGAGUGAAGAAGGUUUUCGGAUCGUAAAGCUCUGUUGUUAAGGAAGAACGAGUGUGAGAAUGGAAAGUUCAUACUGUGACGGUACUUAACCAGAAAGGGACGGCUAACUACGUGCCAGCAGCCGCGGUAAAUACGUAGGUCCCGAGCGUUGUCCGGAUUUAUUGGGCGUAAAGCGAGCGCAGGCGGU